GCAAAUAUAUUGCGUUAAGGGCACGGGAGCCUGAGAGACUAUGGAGAGGGAGAGAGUGGGAAGAGCAGGAAGCACUGCCUAUAUACCUUUCCUUCUGCUGGCAAGAUAGAACAUGCAGACUCCUAUUGGUACCAUGCCAUGAAUUGGUGAGCUGGAAGGGCUGCGCCACCUCCCACAAAAGAGAAUCUCUGCUCCAGGAUGAUUUUCAAAAGCGCUAAGUUUUGGCCUAACUGUGCUCCCAUUGAAGUAAAUGAUGAUUUAUUUAGGCCACCAUUGAUAUCCUUUGGAGCUGCCACCCCAGAAGCAUAUGCACAGUACUCCAUAAGAAUGUCUAUACAACCUUGACAAGACUUGUGAAUGACAUAGGAAGCAGAACAUUUUCAAACGUGAUUUCACCUAAAUAAAACUAGCCUGUUUUUCAGAGAA